CACCCGAGAUCUGCUGCGUAGCUCUACAGAGUACUUUUUUGUAGCGAUCAUGCUCUGACGUGAGAUGUGCAUCUUGCGUGACUGCUAUGUCCUUCAAUAUUUUUUGCAGGAACGAGAAUUUCAAGAAGCAACCAACAGCAACGACGUGAUCGAUCGUGAUCAGCAACGACCAGUACAGACUCAGUGGGUUUCUAUCACUUGUCCAUCGAUCUUCGUCGGCCGGACCUAGGAAGAGGAUUUAUUGAGAACCAGUCGCAGAAGGGCCACAAUGGCCACCACCUACCGCCAAGACAUGCCUCCAAAGGGAGGCUUUGGCGACAUCACCUGGAAGAGGAUUUCGGCGAGCAAGAUAUUUGGAUGGAAAGGCUGGGCAUUCUUGGUUGGCUUCCACGCAGUGAACGGUUAUAUCUUCAUGAAGCAUCGUGCCUAUUACAAGGAGAUGGAGUGGGUGAAGAAGGAUGCGCGGACAGCUCUUCUUCCCGUACUAAUGGCC